GUUGUCAUGGCCGAGUGGUUAAGUCGAUGGACCUAAAAUCUUUUGGGAUCUUCCCGCGCAGGUUCGAAUCCUGCCGACAUCG
rnacentral:tRNA from 1 species